rnacentral:rRNA from 1 species
GCCAGACUCCUACGGGAGGCAGCAGUGGGGGAUAUUGCACAAUGGGGGGAACCCUGAUGCAGCGACGCCGCGUGGGUGAAGGAGCGUUUCGGCGCGUAAAGCCCUCUCGGCAGGGAAGAAGGAGGACGGUACCUGACUAAGAAGCCCCGGCUAACUACGUGCCAGCAGCCGCGGUAAUACGUAGGGGGCAAGCGUUAUCCGGAUUUACUGGGUGUAAAGGGGGCGCAGACGGCAGCGCAAGCCAGGAGUGAAAGCCCGGGGCCCAACCCCGGGACUGCUCUUGGAACUGCGCGGCUGGAGUGCAGGAGGGGCAGGCGGAAUUCCUGGUGUAGCGGUGAAAUGCGUAGAUAUCAGGAGGAACACCGGUGGCGAAGGCGGCCUGCUGGACUGCGACUGACGUUGAGGCCCGAAAGCGUGGGGAGCAAACAGGAUUAGAUACCCCUGUAAAC